UAAUUAGACUACAAUAGUAGAUCCAUUAGUAGUGCGCAGCGACGGCCUGAAAGAUAGUAUAAUGUUCAGCACCUAUCUGAUAUCAGGCCAAGUUCGCAGACAGUGAGUGGUGUAGUACUGCGCUUCUCUGCCGCUCUGCGUGCAAGCACUUGUCUGAUGAUGUAUCCAGCCAGUAAUCUUGAAUUAAUAAUAACCUGCAUCUGUACAACUCAGUUCACCUGCCAUCACCCAUCUUACAUUUUCUUGUUGGUGGUUAUCGUCUGAAAUGUGCCACUGGCAGAGCAAUACCCAACAUCGCGCAUGCGGGAUCCCCGGAGAGGGCUGCCAGAGGUUAGUAAUGAACAAGAUGACAUGGGAUGAAUCAAAAACUCCAUCAAUCAGAUUCAGUAUAAAAUAUUGAAAUUACUACUCCAUCAAUCAAAUUCAGUAAUGAACAGAAACUGUAAGCAGGAGGAAGUGGAGCAAAUGUCACCUGCGAUUUAUCCUUAUAUCAAACUGUGAAUUUUUAAUCUCAAACUCUGGUGGUCGCACAAGCCAAAAUAUGUAGCUCUCCUUAUGCGUUACCAUCAUGAGGAGAAUAAGAGAAACCACCAAUACCUGUCAGAGUUAGAGUAAAGUUAAUUCUUGGUUUGAUUGAUUUACUUUUCUAGAUGAGACAUAGUUAAUUCUUGUUUGGACGAGAGCUAGCUGCAAUGGAUUGUCGCUUAAUAUUAUCUCUAAAAGUUAACAUUUGUAUGCUGUUACAACUAUGGAAUGAUUAAAUUAAAGCUAUAUUCUGUAAUUGCAUAGUAUUCAUUCGUUCGGAAAUACUUGACGUUGAUUUAGUACAGGUUGUGCAAGAUUACCUAUGAAUUUUAAACUCCUAUUCCAAAAAUAGUAAAUCUACUUCGUCGAUGCUACUCCCUCUGUCCCGAAUUAAUUGUUCUAAAACGGAUAUAAAUGGAUGUAUAUGUAUCUAGAUACAUCCAUUUAUACGACAAAAAAUUCAAAACGAUGGGAGUAUUACUUAAGGAAAGCUACUCUCUCUCUCUCUCUCUCUCUUACAAAAUCAAGAAACUCUAUUGUCCCAAAAAUAUAUUUUCCAUAAAAAAACACUUGCUCUUCACAAUUACUCCCUCCGUCCCAUAAUAUAAGAACGUUUUUUAGAAUUUUCGUCAAAAAGAACCACCUGCCCAGUGAAAUUGUCAAAAAAGACCGCCUACGAGCGAAAAUGUCAAAAAGGACCACCUGCACCGUGGCGGCAGGUGCGCCAGCCGACACGUGGCACCUGCCGCCACGGGAUCUGGCGGCAGCACCUGCCGCAACUGGCUCGACCGGCAGCCUCAGCUGCACAGAAUUUCGGUCGAUGGCACACACAAGAACGGAACGGGCUGGCGAUGUGGCACCUGCCGCCACGCUCCCUGGCGGCAGCUUGUGCUGCUUUUCACGCCAAACGGCACGUCCGUUGGUUCUUAGUGUGGCAGACGCAUUGCUGGCCGUGGUGCCUCUGUCGUUUUGUUUUCUGUGCACCCAUCUCUCUCUCGUUGCCCUGUGCUAUGUGGAGUCAUCUGGAUUAAUCCUAAAUACAGGACUGACCGACUGAGGUGUUUAGUCUAACUCAAUCAACAGAAAAGGCAUCUGGCCAGUGCAUCUCGACUAGCAAAGCGUCUGCCACCUAUGGCCCAACAGAAAAGCAGCACAGGCUGCUGCCAGAGAGCGGGGCGGCAGGUGCCAUGUCGCCAGCCCGUUCCGUUUUCGCAUGCGUCGUCGGUCAAAAUUCUGUGCAGCUGAGGCUGCCGCCUAAGCCGGUGGCGGCAGGUGCUGCCGCCGGAUCCUGUGGCGGCAGGUGCCACGUGUCGGCUGGCGCACCUGCCGCCACGGUGUAGGUGGUCUUUUUUGACAUUUUUGUCCAUGGGUGGUCUUUUUUGACAUUUUCACUGGUCAAGGGGUCCUUUUUGUCAAAAAUUCCGUUUUUUACACUAGUGUAGUGUCAAAAACACUCUUAUAUUAUGGGACGGAGAGAGUACAUCUAAGUUACCUCAAGACGGCAUCACAAAAUACAAUAAACAAGAUGUUUCGCAUAUAGAUUUUUAAAAAUAAAUAAAUAAACCUACCAUACACGCAACUACACCCACGUGGAAAAACCAAAAACACAAAAAUGCUUUCUCCACCUCACAACUAGAGUGGAAGAAAACACCUUCUCUCUUGACAUAUGACCAUGCGACAAUCAUCACCCCACCUAUGAAUAUCAUCAUCAAAAUGUAUACUCGACACGGCAAAAAUAUAUAUAUGACCCACCGGGGUAGAUGGUAUGACAUUUUGGAACAAGUAUUAGCAAAACCUGUUUUAAGAGGAUUUUUAGGAAAACUAGUUCUAAAUUGUUGCUAUGUUAAAGCUGAUUUAUAGGAUACCUUGUUUGGACUUGAAAAGUUCAGAUAGUACUGAUGUAAAUCGAUUUUCGUCUCUGAGUUCCUUUCGUCCGUGAUCUCUCUUCCUCGACGAGCACACAUGCAUGCACGUGAACUCCAUGGUACUAAAAUGCGGCAAGCACGGUGAUGCUCUUGAGCACGCGUUAUCUCUUUUAUGGUGUGGCUGCAAUAGCAUUAGCAACACAUACAGCGAGGGCUCGCCAAAGGCGGAUGUGGCGACGGCGACCAUGGGCAAGGCCCGGCAGCGGUGGCCAUGGAGAGGGUUGACGACCAUGGCCGAGGGCCUGCAGUGCGGAGGGCAGAAGCGGCAACAGCGACUAUGGCCGAGGGCCGGCAGCGACGGAGAGCGGAAGAGGCAACAACGACUAUAAGUACUGCCCAAAUCGUCUAACACCACAGUCGGCUCUCACGGCGUCUCAGGCCGUCACGUACACACAAUAAAUAUCCCCUGAACCACCACAGCUAAUACUGCAUACGUCCCACAUCCCGAGCCAAACGAACGCACGACGAUACAGAGAGUGCGCGAGCUCGUCCACGCCAAGCAAUCUUCGUUAGCAAUAUAAGUUAAUUUAUUCGGAAGCAGCGAUUCGGUGCCCAACCUCUUCUACAGCCGCAAUGAAUAAAGAAUACAAAACAAAUAGUAGAAAAUUCAAAAAAUCUAUUUUUUUUUAUUUUUGCAUCGUGGAUAAUUUGGUAUUGUAAAUUUAGGCUCUGUAAAAAGUUUACCGUUUAUGUAUUUGUUCUGACCCAUUUUCCUUUUUUGCUGAUAGCUACUCAUAAGGCCAAAUAGUAUGAAAUUUGGGGAGCACCGCACACACCAAAUUAUGUACCAUGAUUUUUUUGGGGGAUUUUUAUGGUUUUUUCUUGACCGGGUGCACGUGAUUCUUGGCUCACAAAUCGAUAUUUGAAUUUAUCCCGGCUUUUCUCUCUUUUCCUUGGCGGGCUGGUGGCGAAGUGUCCACAGGGGUAAACCGAAUAGUACUAGCACUAGCAGUCUUUUUUUUUGAGAAAAGAAAACCACUAGCAGUCUCGCGGCGAAAAGUAGCGAACCUCUCGCGGAGUUUGCCGGGUUGGCGGAAAACUGGGAGCGCCAAAACGGAGGGCACACUGCACUCGCCCACAUGCUCUUCUUGGUGUAGUGUUAUCCUACGCACGCUCCCUGCCUCCUCUUAUCCAGUUGCAGUGGAGUGCAGUGCACGUGAGAUGGCUUUUAUACUGUGACCAACGAGCGGCGCCACCUGUGCUCUGCCCGCCCGCCGGUAUAGCCAGCUCGCCUGAACCACCGCCCAGAAGGCCAAAACCACGGUCUCGCUUGCCCUCCCACCGUAUCAAAUCGUCUUCUUGCGCGCACGCCGGUUGCCGGUUUCCUGCAACCUAUAUAAAUCCGGCCAGACCACAUUUCCUAUCCAUCUCACUCACACUGUCACACUGUCUCACUACUACUGCUGAUACUUCACUGCUACUACCAGUUCACUUCCUUGGGAUCUCGGCCAACAUGUCGACGGUGACCCGCGCCUACCUCGACCAGAGGCUCGCCGCCGCCAACCGCUGCUCCAGAGGUACUAACCAACGACGACUGGUUCCGGCCUCAGCCCAGCACUGCUCGUAUAUCCAAUUCAUUGCAGCUUAUGUGUCUGCUGAAACUGAUCUUGAUUAACAUUCCUAUGUUGAUCCGAAACUGCAGAGGCUGCCAUGGCCGGAGCCAAGGCCGCGGCAGUCGCCGCCGUCGCUGCCGCAGUCCCCACCGUAAGUACACGUUUCUCGGCUGGCGCCGCUAUCUUGCAAGCAUCCCCAAGAUACAACAAUCAUGCAUCUCACUGUCUUCUUCCCCCGUGCCUUUCUCUGCAGCUAGCGAGCGUGAGGAUGCUGCCGUGGGCGAGGGCGCACCUCAACCCGACCGGGCAGGCGCUCAUCAUCUCCACCGUCGCCGGGAUGGCCUACUUCAUCGUCGCCGACAAGACCAUCCUCUCCAUGGCCAGAAAGCACUCCUUCGAGGACGCGCCGGACCACCUCAAGAACACCUCCUUCAACUAAUUAGGCUAUAAUCUGCACGCCGGCCUGGAAGUAUUAUAAUGUUCAGCACUUAUUCGAGAUCAGGCGAGCCUUGCAGACAGUCAGUGGUGUAGUAUUGCGCUUCGCUGCGUGCAACUUAUCUGAUGAAGUAAUCAUCAUGUAUCCAGCCAGUAAUCUUGAAUUAAUAAUGACUUGUAUUUGUACAACUCAGGUUUACCCACCAUCAUCCCAUCUUACAUUUCCUUGUUUUUGGUUAUCUUUUGACAUGUGGCGAGUGGCA
rnacentral:lncRNA from 1 species